GAAAGUAGGGGGCAAUUGGCUGAUGCCCUCCACUUUGUCUUCUUGAGAUCCAUAAGAGUUUUGUCAUCUAAGGAAGCAGAAGUUCCUUAUAAGGUUAAGAGUUUAAGGAGCCAUUUUAAUUGCAUCGAUAAUCCACUCAACAGCAUCUACGGGAUUUUUCUACUAAAUCAGCCUUCAGUUUUCGUCUCCAAAGAAAAGAAAAAAAACUUCAUUCUCAUUUCCUUCCUGUUGCUGGUAGUUAGAGGCUACAAUAUGCAAAAGCAUAUAUGCUGCAGACCCCCCAAAUCAGCAUGGUGGAUCAUACCUAUAAUCUCAGCACUUUGGGAGGCCGAGGUGGGCAGAUCACCCGAGGUCAGCAGUUGGAGACCAGCCUACCCAACAUGGUGAAACCGUCUCUACUAAAAAUACACACACACACACACACACACAAUUAGCUCGGGGUGGUGGCACAUGCCUGUAAUCCCAGCUACUAGGGAGGCUAAGGCAGGAGAGAAGAGAUUGUAGUGAGUGAAGAUGGCACCACUGCAUUCUAGCCUGGGCAACAGAGUGAGACUCCAUCUCAAAAAAAAAAAAAUUACUUUUUUAAAUUGUUUGAAAUCUCUCUGAGAACUGUAUUAGUAAUCUGUGCUAAAAGCGAUUUUGGUGUCCACAUACUAGACCCCUUGGGGACAUUAUGAUGUUACUUAGUGUCAAAAUAGCAAGGGAGCAAGAGCCUAGGAGUUGGAGUCAGAAAUGCAAUAGCUUGGAAUUCUGGCUUUGAUUCUUUCUAGUUGUUGACUUGAGGUAUAUUAUUUAAAUUCCUUGAGUCUCAAUUUCCUUAUAGAGCAAGAUCAAUAUAUGUUUCGCAGAGUGGUUGUGGGUAUUGAAUAAGGUAAAGUACAUAAAGUCCAACAGAAUGCCUUGGCACAUAUCAGGGUGAAAAGCUGUUCUGUCCUAUAUUUCUUUGUCUAAACUCUAGUAACAGAUUCAUUCAACCAGUGUUUCAACAAGUGCUGUUUGUGCUUCUUCAAGGUAAAAUGCACAAAUCCAGGAUUUUAGACACUAAAAGGGGUAAGUUAUUAUCUUUUCUUAUUCUUAAAGAUCUUAUAUAUUAAUGGAGGACUUAUACAUUAUUUACACAUACAUAGAAAUUUUAUCUUAGGUACAAUGUGAUAAGUAAAACUAAUAGCUAAUAGUUAUUGAACUCUUUCAUUAUGCCAAAUACUGUGAU
rnacentral:lncRNA from 1 species